GCCCGCCUAGCUCAAUCGGAUAGAGCGUCAGACUCUUAUGGUGGGUGCAUGGUCGCAUCACGACCCGAAUCUGAAGGCUGCGAGUUCGACCCUCGCGGUGGGCU